AGAAGACCUUGCCUACAAGGGUAGGGAAAGAGUUUCGAAGUUCGUCCACAUCCUCCCAAGGGUCAGAGCGCCCUCCGAUGUGAGUGUCGGGAGGUGUGGUAAGGGUGCGAUCUGGUUGCCCAAUUUCUUCUUGAGGUUAAAGAUAUGGAAAAUAGGAUAAAGAUAUGGGAAGCGUUCGUGUUGGGCUACACGUCAGAGUUAAAGCUAGAUUUUAAACUAAGGUUGAUGAUGAAGACUCACCAUUGAAGAGCAACAAUAUUUUCAUAAUAUGAGUAUGAGGGUGAGAUGGAAUACUCGAAUGUGGUGACAGGUACCAUUCCUCUGUUCGGUAACUUAGCUAGCACACUUUUUGAUUUUUGAUAUUAAAAAAAAACUAAAUAAAGUAAAAUAAAACAAAAGAAAAGGUACUAAGGUUUUUGAAUCCACACCCGCCAAAUCAUAGCAACAUAUUCUCAUGUUCAUCAAUACACAUCCGAAGU